rnacentral:rRNA from 1 species
AUUGAACGCUGGCGGAAGGCAUAACACAUGCAAGUCGAGCGGAGCGGAGGACGGGGGAGUAAUGCCUAGGAAUCUGCCUGGUAGUGGGGGAUAACGUCCGGAAACGGGCGCUAAUAUCGCAUACUAUCAGAAGAGCCUAGGACGGAUUAGCUAGUUGGUGGGGUAAAGGCCUACCAAGGCGACGAUCCGUAAAUGGUCUGAGAGGAUGAUCAGUCACACUUGAACUGCGACACGGUCCAGACUCCUACGGGAGGCAGCAGUGGGUAAUAUUGGACAAUGGGCGAAAGCCUGAUCCAGCCAUGCCGCGUGUGUGAAGAAGGUCUUCGGAUUGUAAGACACUUUAAGUUGGGAGUCGUUACCGACAGAAUAAUCACCGGCUAACUUCGUGCCAGCCGCCGCGGUAAUUC